UAUAUCGUGGAGGGGCUUCCGCGCGGGCGACGUAUAGGGGGACGCUUCUAGAGGCUCCUACUAAUCAGCAUGGACGCCAUAAGUGCUCAAAAGUUUAAGACUAAAGACCUUAAGACGAACUAAACAAUGCGUUUUCGCCAAAACGUGCGAUUUAACUUAUUUCGUUAAUUGUUGUCAAAUGGAUGAAAACGAAAGAGGAUCCGAUUGUAAUCCGGUUGAAUGCAUAAAGAUUAAAACAUGCGUAAUGUAUACGUAUAAUAUUGUUAUAUAUAAUAUAUUGGAUGGGUAAAUAGAUGGAUGUACAAAUUGUCGUUUGAUAAUUUAUUAUUUUUCAAAAUUUAUUUUAAAUGUAUGUAGAAAUUUAUUGUUUAUUUAAAACAAUUCUCGUUUUUCAUGCAUAGUAUUUGCAUGAAAAAGUGCGUUUGAUAAUAUUUAUAUAACAUGUAUAGAAAGGUAUAUAAGAACAUAUGUAAUUGGCAAGGCUAAAAAUAGUUAAAAGAUAAAAGCUUACACUGUCUCGGCCGUAUUACAUCAUGCAUAUUGUCAUUAAAAAAAGAUUAUUGCUAAUUUUGCGCUGGUCACGUUCAAAUUUCGUUUUGUAAUGGCUCACUGAUAAAGCAAUCAUUUUCAUUGUUAAUGCAAUCGCACCGUCAAACGUGAAGCGAUACUGUGUUAUCGCGUUAAUUAUUAUUCUCACAGAGUAUAUUUUCAUUUUGCUGAUAUCAUAAUUAUUGGCCCUGAAAUGUUUUUAACCAAACUGGCGGCAGGAAAAAAAAGCUAUUGCUCCAAUAGGCUUUUCUCGCUUUUAUGUUAAAAAAAAAAAAUAGACUUCGUGCUUCGCAAAUUUAUUUUAGCAAUAUUACAUGUUGUUUAAUCUUUGUCUUUAUAUUUUUUCGAUUUCUAGUUUAAUGUAAUUUUGCAUUUUGUAAAGUCUUUAUCCUGAUAAAUUAAUGCAUGAGAAUCGUGUUUUAAAACUCAUUGUAAGAGAUGCGAUGCGAAUACUUUGUACUGCACUUAAAUUCACCUUGUUAAGAAAAAUCUGAUCUGUAUCGCUUCCGAGACAAGCUCAUGCAAGUUGUAUGUAAUGUACGUCACUUUGCAUUUUCAAAAGAGAAGACGGCACUUUGCCUUUCACUCGAAUUCGCUAUGUUUGAAAAACUGAUUUGUGUGUCGCUCUCAAAAUAUAAGCAUCCUCGUGUAAGUUGCACAACGGACGUUACCUUACAUUGACAGUUUCCUGUCGUGAAAGCAGGCGGCUCGCAAAGUAUAUAACGAUUGUUUAAAUGACUUGUAGGAAAUCUCAAGUCAACGUCCAUCUAAGUCAAUCGCGUGGCAUAAUAUCGAUGCUUCUUAAGAGACCUAACGAGAUCCAAUCUCGGCCAAUAUUGCUCAGCCGAGGCAGAUUUCCGUCUUGGUUAAUUAUAAAAUAUUGACGACUUACACCUGAGCGACCUAAGAAUUUCUCGACCGAAAUCCUUCAAUCGAUAUAUUAAAAGAAUAUAGCGAUAUCCCGUUUUCGUUCUCAUUUUCGAAUCUCUUCGCUCUUCCUUGUUUUUCACGAGAUAGGUUGUCUAGCGUUAAGUUAUUUCAUAUGUGUUAUUGCCACCGCGCGAUAUCGAUCCAUCGCUUGCGUCAAGGCGAUCGAUUAAAUACCGGACCGAUGAAAUAUCAUACGUCUACGGUAACGCGCGAUAAGUCCGACGGUUAUUUGACAUCUUCUCUGUUACGGAUCGUCGCGUAAUUUUAUUCGCGAAAUACGAGGGCGAGAGCUGUCGUGGAGUCGCAUAUUGCACAGUGAGUGAUACGUCGUACAAUUAGGCGAUACGGAAUAGCGGUCAGGUCGAUAUUAGCAAAUUGACCGAUAGAUUUAGGCUUACGUAACCAAACAUGCCUGUACGUACGUCGUGUCCUCGAGUGCAAGUCUUCUUGGGAAUAUUUUCAACCUCUUCUAUAUGCUGAUGACGCGACAUAUUAUAGUUUGCGAGCAUUUCAAUAAAGAGAAGAAGAAAAUUAGAAAGCAAAAAAAAAACGAUCGGAACACCAAGUACAAUUCAAACGUGAUUAACAAGUUAAUCAAAUAUCCCUUUAAUACUCGGUUGCGCACAAUGCUCGACAGCGUAAUCGUGGGGUACAAUAAUCGGGCUCAGAAAGGGACAGAAUGUAACAAGCCUGCGGAGUAUACAAGAACCGCUAUCGAACGGAUGUCGAUCUUGAUCCCGAGCGCGAAGAUGAAGAGGGACAGAAGCGCGGUCAUUAUAUCGGACUGAAUAAAGAUUCGCCAUGCCUAGUACCAGAUACGUUACUCGAGCCGCGGUCGAGGUCGACGGAGACCCAAAGAAAGCCGUGUAAUAAUCGCGCGCUGCAAAAAGCGGCGUUUUCAAGGAAGGAUAUUAUGUCUAAUGACGGGAAAAAAAGGACCGCGAUGGACCGGUAUAGGAAUAGAAGAUAGGCGCGCCAUUAGAUGCGGCAGGACACGCAUCUUCAGAUUGCAUUUCCCUCUCUCUCUCUCUUUCUCUUUGCCUCUAUCUCUUUUUCUUUCUCGUUUUCGUUUUCGUCUUCUAGUUGCUUUCAUUCGCGUGGCCGACGGACGCGGCCGGAAAAGGAAGGAGGUGCAAAAAUCGCGAUUCGCGCACCUUGCGCGCAUUCCGCGAGGAGCGGCUCGAUUGGAUCAGCGACGCGACGGCGCGCGGCGUGGCGCUUCGCUUCGCGAGAAAUGGACCACCGAUAAAAAGCGCGACCGGCCGGUUUACGUGACAGAAUUCGAUGCGUCUCUGUGUGCCUCGCGCGAACGACCGCGCCGCGAAUGACUCGUUACUCCCGCGCGCGUGCACGGUACAAUACGUCGCCCUUUCACCGCGAAACCUACCGGGGCUGACCAAGCCCGACGCGUAUCCCGCGCGGUAAUCCAAACCAUCGAUGGAAUUUACAUUCGGCCUAUCGAGUGAAUUACGAAGCGGGCGUAACGACACAAUUGCAUUACGAUUAUUGCACGAUAUUGACAUUAAAUUCGCGUUAGUGUCAAUCGCUAUUUCUGCGCGCAUGCAAACGAUUACAACGCGAUGUUUUUGAGAGGCAUUGUCCCCUAAAUAUAUUUUCUCUUGAAAGGAGCAUUUCCGAAUAUGUAUGUAUACGCAUUUUUUUAAUUUUUAGUUUCGUUCUCUUAUUUAUAUAUAAUAAUAUAUGGAAUUAACAUAUUUAUGCUAUAUCUAUGCACAUGUAAGAGUUCAUACUCUUAUAUAGAAAUCAUAAAUUUUCUAAUGAAUUCAAAAUUGAUAAUAUGGUAAUAUACGCGAUUAACGUUCACUGAAAUGCUGUCAUAAUCAAAAGCGCUUUUUAGAAACUUCCUAAAAUUCACUUACGCGUUAUAGCCCGCUUUGCGGACUUAUUAUAGGCGCACUUUUAGGCUCCGUUUAAAAUAAAACCCGUUCACAGACACGUACAGAAGCGAGAUUUCCCCGCGGGCGACCGUGAGGAAAAAAGGUCGAAGCGGAAUCGAUCUGCGGCGACAUCGUAGAUCGUUCUCGGAGCCGCUCUCUAGAACAGCUAAUGGACCAAGACUCUAUUAAUAUUGAUAAUGGCGAAAAUCAGGCCAAUAAGCGCUCGUGGUAUACUACCCGUGCCCCCGAGGCUGUGGCAUCCGCGUUUGCCUGACAUUACGAUGUAGAUUUAGUAGUUCGCGCGAUUGACCGAUGACUCCUCUGAUUUCUUUUCGCGACAAUCUCUUAUAUCGCACCGACAAAAAGUCUGAUUAUGCGCUGCAAAACCUCGUUGUUUUUGUGACUUCGGUUACAAAAUAAACAUAUUAAAUCAGCUUUAGAAACGCAGUUCUGAGCUAAACAUGGGAAAAUUGUUUUUGUACUUAUUACUACCUCGUCAUUGUUUGUUAACUAAUAUAUUUCGAAACACUUUCGCGAAGCAGUGACUAUAAGUACAUGUAAAGCACGGUCAAUUUUCAAGAAAUGUGAUUUUCUUUUAGUCUAUGUAACUACGUUUCGGCUACUUUUCCUGCAUGUCACUAAUAUCUGUGCAUAAAUACAUUCUACAUACAUACUUACACAUAUUUCACUUGGAAUUUGCGUAACCAGAUUAGAUAUAGAGCUUCCAUGGAAUUGUCGAAGCGGUUAGUUUGCGCAUUAUUUAAAACAUUUGUCAUCAAACUGAAUAUUUAUGUCGAUCUUACGUAUUAAAACAAACUAUAUUCUAAAAACGGUCUUGUGGAGAAGAAAAUAAAUAUUUUAAAUGUGGUUAUGGGAUAUUUAGAAAUUGCUCGACGAGAAAUAAAAUUUUUAUUUUGCGUUAAUAAAAGAAUUAAUAAAAGAAAAAAAAGAAAGAGAAAAAGGAAAAGAAAUUCUUCUUACAGAGGUUAAUACUUAAAAAUUCCGUCGUCCGAAAAAUCUAUUGUCUUCAAACACAUUAGAGUAUGAGGAAAUAUUUGUCAUACGAUAAUUAAAAUUUUACGACCGUGCCAACACAUGUACGAUAUAACAAAAAAUAUAUAUUUAGGUCGGAAA